rnacentral:SRP_RNA from 1 species
GCCGGGCGCGGUGGCUCACGCCUGUAAUCCCAGCACUUUGGGAGGCCGAGGCGGGUGGAUCGCCUGAGGUCAGGAGUUCAAGACCAGCCUGACCAACAUGGUGAAACCCUGUCUCUA